AUGUUGGUCCUUCAUUCAGUUUCCACAUACUUCCCUAGAUUGGUCUUCUCGAUUCUAUUUCCGCCUCACUGCCGCAUCCAUUCUCUCCAGGCUCUAGCACCAUCUUGCCUCCGGCAGUUGGAGACGAAGUAUCUGAUCAUGGAAAACCGCAUUAGGACGUUCAAUGUGGUGGUCAUGGCGCAUCAUGCUGGGUCUACUUCACCAUCGUCGUGCUCCGCCGCCGCCUCCAGCCGACGGCCGACACACCGAUUGUGCAAUUCUGUGGCCGUGCAUGUGCCAACUAGGACUACUAUGUGUGCAACUACAACUAUUGUGGAUGCAGCUCCAAAAAACCAGUCCACCUGGCGGGACGAGUUUGCAUCUGAUGAUGUCAGAACUUAUGGAAAGUUUCUAAAAGAAUUUAUGACAUGGGGUAUUCUCAAGGAAUUGCAAGAUGAUGGGCUAUACACUUCACAUAGCCUGAGACCAUGUUAUGUGGUGUUUGGUCGGACGUGCGCAUUUGCAGCACCAUGGGGUACUCUUUGGCUGAAGUACAUAUUUUGUAUCUUCUUUGGACCUAAAUCAGACUGUUCAAGUGGUGUUUGCUCAGAACAUGCAGGUGGAGCACCAUGGGAUGCUCUUUGGCUGAGACAAUCAUUGAGGAUAUUAUUUCCUUUCCCUUUGGGAUCAGACAGUGUCCUCGCACAGUCCACGACGCUCCAUCCCCCCAUCCACCUCCAGCUCCAAAAUCACCUGCUCCCCCGCAAGUCCUGCCGCGUCGACUACCACGCGUGGGCACCAGAUCCGACAGAGGUCACCCUCGUGGGCUUCGCAAAUCCCACCACCUCCGCAUCAGCUGCCGAGCGGGCGGGCCAGCGCGGGCUCCGUUGCUGCAGCGACGGCCAUGGCUGA
rnacentral:rRNA from 1 species